UGGGGAAUAUUGCACAAUGGGCGAAAGCCUGAUGCAGCAACGCCGCGUGCGGGAUGACGGCCUUCGGGUUGUAAACCGCUUUCAGCAGGGACGAAGGUUUUCUGACGGUACCUGCAGAAGAAGCACCGGCUAACUACGUGCCAGCAGCCGCGGUGAUACGUAGGGUGCGAGCGUUGUCCGGAAUUAUUGGGCGUAAAGAGCUUGUAGGCGGUCCGUUGCGUCGGAAGUGAAAACUCAGGGCUUAACCCUGAGCCUGCUUUCGAUACGGGCGGACUUGAGGGAUGUAGGGGAGAACGGAAUUCCUGGUGGAGCGGUGGAAUGCGCAGAUAUCAGGAGGAACACCAGUGGCGAAGGCGGUUCUCUGGACAUUUCCUGACGCUGAGAAGCGAAAGCGUGGGGAGCAAACAGGCUUAGAUACCCUGGUAGUCCACGCCGUAAACGGUGGGCACUAGGUGUGGGACCCAUUCCACGGGUUCCGUGCCGUAGCUAACGCAUUAAGUGCCCCGCCUGGGGAGUACGGCCGCAAGGCUAAAACUCAAAGGAAUUGACGGGGUCAU
rnacentral:rRNA from 1 species